GGGGCACACUGUGACAAUAACUAGCCCUGGCACCGCUCACAUUAAAUAGAUUUAAUUGUCCAGUUCGAGCGGUGCCUGGGCCGGCUUACAUCACGUGAUCGCCGCAGUCAGCUAGGAGCGGGAAGUUCAAUAGUGCUUAGCACAGCUUCCUUUAUCCCCUGUGUGCUCCAGGCACAAGCAUACAACAGCCCCGGGCAGCUCAUCCGGAUCACAUACCGGACUGAUGCUGCUGCUCCAGAGAAGGUGAACUCAUAAAGAAAGGAGGCGCAGCCCGUUCUCUAUUCUCUCCCCCUUCUGCGCCUCCUUCCUGCCCGACGGCCAUGGGCUGUCCCCCUGCCCACGGAGCUUCCACUGCAGACACGAUACUCCCCUGCAGGCAUACGCAGCUAUGGGCUGUCCCAGUGCCCUCCGGAGCUUCAUCUGCAGCCACGGUCCCCAGCACCAGCACUUUCCGUGACACCCACAGCGGCAGAGCUGAUCACUCCUUCUCAUAGGAUGCCAUGGCUGCGGGACCCGCGGAGGUGAUGGACGGAGUAGAGUGCACACUGAAAGAGCUGCUGAGGGGCCAGGACUCAGAGCGUCUGCAGGGAAAGGUGUCGGCGAAGCUGAGCCAGCUGGUGGUACUGGAGAGAGUAGCUGCCCACAGCCAAGUGCAGCAGUUGGUGGAUGCAGCGCCGCAGUGAUGAGGUGGGGACUCUGACGUUGGUUGCCUACGUGGACCGGGUAACCUAGGAGACGAGGACGCCGGGGGAACUUCAGUACGACCACGUCCAGGUUGCCAUGGAGACACGGACAGCCGGCGGAAGGGGGACGCACCACGGCACUGCGGGCUGACGUCAUCACUGAGCACCCAAUACUCGGGACGGAAGUAUGGCGCGUUCCCGAUCUCACACCGCAGUUCCCGUACGCGGGUCUUCUUCACCCUACAAAG